UACGAAGGGGGCUAGCGUUGCUCGGAAUCACUGGGCGUAAAGGGUGCGUAGGCGGGUCUUUAAGUCAGGGGUGAAAUCCUGGAGCUCAACUCCAGAACUGCCUUUGAUACUGAAGAUCUUGAGUUCGGGAGAGGUGAGUGGAACUGCGAGUGUAGAGGUGAAAUUCGUAGAUAUUCGCAAGAACACCAGUGGCGAAGGCGGCUCACUGGCCCCGAUACGU
rnacentral:rRNA from 1 species